CUGAAUUGCAACUCUAGGCCUGGAGCACUUUCCAAGGAGCCAAGUUCACACCUAAGGUCUGAAGCUUAAAGAGAAGAAGAAUCUAGAGGAAAUGAGGCUUUCAGACACUAAGUAGCUUACUGAAGGUCCCAUGUCUGCUGAAAGGAUAAUGAAGAAAUAAAGUGAGGGACAGCCGUUGAAAUACACUUACAACAAGCUAUUCUACAGGUUAUUAAUGGAACGCUAUACAGACUUUCAGGACACAAGAAGCGAGACUGUCUGAACAUGACCCCAAGAGCUCAUUCUUGGUUACCUGAGCCAGUGUGCGUGCACAAGAAGCCAGGAAUCCCCCUUCUGUCACGGGAGAAGCCACACCUGAACUCAGCUUCCUGAGACGGUUGGCAUUGUUUUACCCUCUUGCAGGAGCCAUGACUCUCGGUGGUCCCUGCUGUCCUCUGGUGCUGGCCCACUAGCUUUCACAGGGGCUUCCCUUAAAGGAGCAGCACGCAAACAGGCUGCCUAACAUUCAAGUCAGCCGCUUGUGUCGUCUAACCAGCUUGUCCUGUGGGAAAGGGGAGCCGACCUGGGCCGGCCCAGGCUCCUGCGCUCUUCUCUAUGGGAAAAAGGGCGAGCCAAAAGACUGCGAUUGUCCUGGCUGCUCACCCCCUGAGUUUCCUCAAUAAAGCUUUUUUUUAAACCCUUACAAUAUGAUACUGUCAAAUUCACCCUGAGCUCUGAUGAGCCUCGGAUGGCCACCACCGAGGGACCCGUGGUACACGACGCAUUGACUGAUGACGAAGCUUCGUUCUGCCUACCCAGCUUCGUGACAUUCAUGUCUUAGUUUGCAUACUUGUAACACAGACUGAAGUCACCGGCCAUACUCGUAUUUUGC